rnacentral:ncRNA from 1 species
CAAAGGCUUGGUCCUGACUUUCCUAUCAGCUUUUACUAGAUUUACACAUGCAAGUAUCUGCCUACCCGUGAGAAUGCCCUACAGUUUCCUGCCCUAAAACAAGGAGCUGGUAUCAGGCUCGUACCCGACUACAGCCCACGACACCUUGCUUAGCCACACCCCCAAGGGAAUUCAGCAGUGAUAAAUAUUAAGCCAUAAGUGAAAACUUGACUUAGUUAAAGUUUAUAGGGCCGGUAAAACUCGUGCCAGCCACCGCGGUUAUACGAGAGGCCCAAGUUGAUAGUCACCGGCGUAAAGAGUGGUUAGGAAGUAUUAAUAACUAAAGCCGAAUACUCUCAGAACUGUUAUACGCACCCGAGAGCAAGAAGCCCAACUACGAAAGUGGCUUUAACCAAUUCUGACCCCACGAAAGCUGAGGAACAAACUGGGAUUAGAUACCCCACUAUGCUCAGCCCUAAACUUUGAUAGCAAAGUACAACCGCUAUCCGCCUGGGGACUACGAGCAUCAGCUUAAAACCCAAAGGACUUGGCGGUGCUUUAGACCCACCUAGAGGAGCCUGUUCUAGAACCGAUAACCCCCGUUCAACCUCACCCUCUCUUGUCUUUUCCCGCCUAUAUACCGCCGUCGUCAGCUUACCCUGUGAAGGUUAAAUAGUAAGCAAAGCCAGUAAAGCUCAAAACGUCAGGUCGAGGUGUAGCAUAUGAGAGGGGAAGAAAUGGGCUACAUUCUCUGCCUCAGAAUAUACGGAUGGUGGAAUGAAAAACCAUUAGAAGGAGGAUUUAGCAGUAAGCAAAAAAUAGAGUGUUUUGCUGAAACUGGCCCUGAAGCGCGCACACACCGCCCGUCACUCUCCCCGAGCCGCAACUAUGCCUUAACUAAAAAACUAAUAGGAUUAAGGGGAGGCAAGUCGAAACAUGGUAAGUGUACCGGAAGGUGUACUUGGACAAAC